UAGCCUAGAGGUUAAGGCUAUGGAUCGCCAAUCCAGAGACGGCGGGUUCGAUUUCCGU
rnacentral:tRNA from 1 species